AGCCUAGUUACCAGUAAAAUACUAUGCAAAUUCUUCAGGGUGACCAUGAUUUAGUGUUUAUAGGCCAAAAUUUGUAUAAUCCUAGAUUUGCUGAAGUAAUUUCUUUGCUAAGUAGUUUGGUUGCCACACCAGCUUGGAGAUUCUGAGAAGCUCCUAGAGAUGAGUGGCCUUCUAUCAUCCGCGGGAAGGCUGCUUGUAUAAAUGUUGUGAAGCCUGUCUUGUGUUGGUGAUGAUUUUCAAUUACCAUUCUUGGCUUUUCUGUGUUCCAUUUAAUAGUCCCACUUGGAAGCAGAUUGACAAAGCAGGAUUGAGCGUUGACCGAUUACAUCUGGAAUUUUGUCCACCCACAGAUAUGUAUGUAAUGCAAAGGAUAUGUAUGUAAUUACAGAAAAGUAUGUAAUGCAAAGGAAUCCCCCCACAAGAAGAAAAGUGUCAUUUGUAUGUUUUCCUGGUUCUCUGAAGACUUCAGCCUUGUAGUGAAUGGAACCUAAAGAAAGCUUGACAGAAAAUGAAAUGUGUAUCCUGUCUACUUAAUGAAACCUCCAACCCAAACCAAAGGAACAGAAAACUUUAUAUGUGCUCUUAAAUAAAAUAGGUAUUAGUGGAUUGCCUUACUCA
rnacentral:lncRNA from 1 species